CUCAAUACACCUUAUUACAUGCCAUUAUAACCCAAUUAAAACCCCAAAUGUUCCUCAAACACAUUCAAAGCUUCUUCUUCAAACGGCAAACCAAGGGCAGACUCUCCUCCUCCUCCCCACAACGGAGCUUCAUUCCGCCACAGUGAUCACCGGAGUUAUUUUUAGAGCCUGAAAAAGAUGCCGAAUCCACCGUUAGUCUAGUGUCACAAUCUCAAGAAUUGCAGAUAGAUGGUUUUGAAUACUUAAAAGAAAACUUCCCUACUGGCUUGACUGAAUUCUUGGAGUAUAUGGCUAGAGUUGGUGAACAAUUUGUCAUCCUAUGCCGAUGUGGAUAUGAAGCCUAAACAUCCUGUAUUUUGAAGGAACAACUGAAUCAUUAAACUUCCAGAAACUUUGAUAUGAAUGUAUUGUUAAUUAGUAACUUUUAGAAAGAAUUGUGAUAGGUUUUACUUAAAUGUAUUUCCAAUCCUAUGAUUAUCUUUUUGUAUAUCGAAACAUGACAGGCUUUAUUUUAAAUGUAUUUCCAAUCCUAUGAUCCUCUUUUUGAACAAUAUAUCAUGACAGGUUUUAUUUCAAAUGAA